rnacentral:lncRNA from 1 species
UGGCUUUUUACGUGGAAUUUGAAAAGAGAUAUGAAUUUCAACUUGAUCAUAUCCAAUUUAGCAAAAUGAUUUGUUGCUGAUCAUGAUCAUCAUUGUAGCUUAAUUACAAUGCUUACAGUAGCAAAAGCUGAGGAUGUCACAAGACCGGCAUACCCCAUUAAGAAGCCACAAUUCUUCACCUGUGAGGUAGCUCUAGAAGCUUUAAUUUCACGUCAACCGAUUAUUAUGAUUUGUUGCUCAGCAAAGGACCUACCUAUUAUUAUGAUUUUACACUAUCGUUUCCGUUCACUGGUUAUAUAUGUUGGGACUGUUGAUAUUUUUUGUGAUUUGCAGUUACUCACAACGGAUUUCUGUUUGAUUUUUUGGAGUUUCUCGAGGUGAUACCUCAACCUUUAUAUGCAAGUGUCAAAAGAUCUCAGGUUGUAUAUAUUUCCUUUGAAAUAUCAGGUUGUGUCCUGUUCUAAUGCCAGCUUAUCUGUAUUUUAAGCCUUUUUUCAAACAUCGAAGCUAGAUAUGAUGCAUCAAGUGAAGAAGUUAGGAUUCAUUCCAGCUUGCUGCAACCUUCAAGUGAGCCCAAUGUUUCUCCUUGUCUUAUGUUACUCCAAACAUUUUUUCCAUUAUUUCACUGAAUACAUUUGUUUCCAAUUUUUCAAUUGAGUGCAAGUAAUGUGUAUAUUGUGUGUGUUUCAAUAUUUUUGCAGCUAUAUAUAUAUAUACUAAAAUUUUAAUAUAAAAAGCAAUUUAUAAAUUAUUCGAUUAGUCGUGCGUUGCACGUGCAUGCUAACUAGUACAUCUAAAAACAACCAAUUCCGUGAUACAAAGUUUCUGAACAUAAUCUUUGCAUACUUUUUAUUGAAUGAAAUACUCAACGGUUUCCACAAAAUCCACAAAACAUUCCUGAAGAUUCUGUAGGAAUCGUCUUUCAUUCUCGAGUUUCUAGGAAGGGAAUCACUUUCAUCCUUAAGUUUAUGGGAAGGGAGUCGUAUUUCCUCCUCAAGUCUUUGAAGGAGAAAAUUGCAAGACUAUAAAGCAUGUCAUGCUGAAGACUAACAAAUGACGAUGAUCCCUAAUUUGCGCGCAGCGACCAUAGAGAGGUGGCUAAUCUCCCUACCACGAACAACAAGUCCUCCCGUGCUAUCUUGACAACACCGGGAGCCUUUAUGUCAAGUUAGAGAACACAUUUCUUCCGCAAUGUCUCUCAUUCUCUAGUAUGCGUUGGUUGCUAACGAAAUACAUGGAAAUCUACAACAUGACCGACAGAUUGUUGAAUGACACCCUGAUGGAUCUACCUCAAGCUACCUGCCUUGCAACUUCUCUAGUUCUUUCUUUUCCGUUUUUGGUAUUUAACUUUUGUGUGUUUCUCUCGACCUUUUCUUUGGGGCUGAGCAACCCCUUCUUCUUA